ACGGGAGAGAGGGAGCUUGCUUCCUUGAUCGAGUGGCGAACGGGUGAGUAACGCGUGAGGAACCUGCCUCAAAGAGGGGGACAACAGUUGGAAACGACUGCUAAUACCGCAUAAGCCCACGGCUCGGCAUCGAGCAGAGGGUAAAGGAGCAAUCCGCUUUGAGAUGGCCUCGCGUCCGAUUAGCUAGUUGGUGAGGUAAUGGCCCACCAAGGCGACGAUCGGUAGCCGGACUGAGAGGUUGAACGGCCACAUUGGGACUGAGACACGGCCCAGACUCCUACGGGAGGCAGCAGUGGGGAAUAUUGCACAAUGGGGGAAACCCUGAUGCAGCGACGCCGCGUGGAGGAAGAAGGUCUUCGGAUUGUAAACUCCUGUUGUUGAGGAAGAUAAUGACGGUACUCAACAAGGAAGUGACGGCUAACUACGUGCCAGCAGCCGCGGUAAAACGUAGGUCACAAGCGUUGUCCGGAAUUACUGGGUGUAAAGGGAGCGCAGGCGGGCGAUCAAGUUGGAAGUGAAAUCCAUGGGCUCAACCCAUGAACUGCUUUCAAAACUGAUUGUCUUGAGUAGUGCA
rnacentral:rRNA from 1 species